GACGAACGCUGGCGGCGUGCUUAACACAUGCAAGUCGAGCGGAAAGGCCUGCUUUCCCUUGUGGAUUGCGGGUACUCGAGUGGCGAACGGGUGAGUAACACGUGAGUGAUCUGCCCCCAACUUGGGUAUAAGCCUGGGAAACUGGGUCUAAUUCCCGAUAGGACUGCAGGGUGGUGCCUGUGGUGGAACACGAUUUUCUAGUGGUUGGGGUUGAGCUCGCGGCCUAUCAGCUGGUUGGUGGGGUAAUGGCCUACCAAGGCGGCGACGGGUAGCCGGCCUGAGAUGGUGGACGGCCACAUUGGGACUGAGAUGCGGCCCAGACUCCUACGGGAGGCAGCAGUGGGGAAUAUUGCACAAUGGGCGGAAGCCUGAUGCAGCGACGCCGCGUGGGGGAUGACGGCCUUCGGGUUGUAAACUCCUUUCGACCGCGAGGAAGCCACCUGGUUGGAAGGGUGGUGACGGUAGUGGUAGAAGAAGCACCGGCUAACUACGUG
rnacentral:rRNA from 1 species